rnacentral:rRNA from 1 species
CCUACGGGUGGCAGCAGUGAGGAAUAUUGGACAAUGGACGCGAGUCUGAACCAGCCAAGUCGCGUGAAGGAUGACUGCCCUCUGGUUGUUAAAUUUCUUUUAUGUGGGAAUAAAGCAUAGUAUGCAUACCCUCUUCUAUGUACCAUAUUAAUAGGGAUCGGCUAACUCCGUGCCAGCACCCGCGGUAAUACGGAGCGUCCGAGCGUUAUCCGGAUUUAUGGGGUGUAAAGGGAGCGUAGGUGGAUUGUUAAGUCAGUUGUGAAAGUUUGCGGCUCAACCGUAAAAGUGCAGUUGAAACUGGCAGUCUUGAGUAGAGUAGAGGUGGGCGGAAUUCGUGGUGUAGCGGUGAAAUGCUGAGAUAUCACGAAGAACUCCGAUUGCGAAGGCAGCUCACUGGACUGCAACUGACACUGAUGCUCGAAAGUGUGGGUAUCAAACAGGAUUAGAUACCCCAGUAGUC